rnacentral:rRNA from 1 species
GCAGUCGAACGGCAGCACGGACUUCGGUCUGGUGGCGAGUGGCGCAUGGGUGAGUAAUAUAUCGGAACGUGCCCAGUCGUGGGGGAUAACGUAGUGAAAAUUACGCUAAUACCGCAUACGAUCUAAGGAUGAAAGCGGGGGAUCGCAAGACCUCGCGCGAUUGGAGCGGCCGAUAUCAGAUUAGGUAGUUGGUGAGGUAAAGGCUCACCAAGCCAACGAUCUGUAGCUGGUCUGAGAGGACGACCAGCCACACUGGAACUGAGACACGGUCCAGACUCCUACGGGAGGCAGCAGUGGGGAAUUUUGGACAAUGGACGCAAGUCUGAUCCAGCCAUUCCGCGUGCAGGACGAAGGCCUUCGGGUUGUAAACUGCUUUUGUACAGAACGAAAAGGUCUCUAUUAAUACUAGGGGCUCAUGACGGUACUGUAAGAAUAAGCACCGGCUAACUACGUGCCAGCAGCCGCGGUAAUACGUAGGGUGCAAGCGUUAAUCGGAAUUACUGGGCGUAAAGCGUGCGCAGGCGGUUAUAUAAGACAGAUGUGAAAUCCCCGGGCUCAACCUGGGAACUGCAUUUGUGACUGUAUAGCUGGAGUGCGGC